rnacentral:rRNA from 1 species
GACGAACCGUCCAAACGUUAUUCGGAAUCACUGGGCUUACAGAGUUCGUAGGCGGCUCGGAAAGUCGGGCGUGAAAUGCCGGGGCUCAACCCCGGGACUGCGUCCGAUACUUCCGAGCUGGAGGUAGGUAGGGGAGAUCGGAAUUCCUGGUGUAGCGGUGAAAUGCGCAGAUAUCGAGAGGAACACCUGCGGCGAAGGCGGGUUGCUGGGCUGACACUGACGCUGAUGCGCGAAAGCUAGGGGAGCGAACGGG